rnacentral:lncRNA from 1 species
GUGGGCAUUUGCCCCGCACGUGGUGGGUGACCAUUGGGCGGGUGGGCACCCCCCGAGGCCUCAGAGCAGCAGACGCCCCUCCCUGAGCCUGGUUGGGCCUGCACCACAAGCAGCACCCAGGUCCCACAGGUCCCUCUCCACACACAGCUCAGUGCAGGCCGUGAGCAAGUGGUCGCAUGCACACUGCUGACCACCUGCCUGGCAUGGCGUCUGGUAAACAGCAGGUGGAUAUUGGUGUAGAUGUGCCACCUCGAAUUGCUAGAUUGGGCAGAACCCCGCUAGAGCCCAUCCAGUUGCAGACACAAACCCAGGGCCCAGCAGAUGGUGCUGUCUGCUAGGACAAGGCUGGAGAGCAGUCGCUCCAUCCAGUCACCGUUUCCCGCAUCUGGACGCCUGCAUCAUCCCCUGGACAGCCAUGCAGAACCCGCCCUGUGCAGGCAUUGGAGGGCCGGGGACAGGAGGCUAACCCUCCAUGGUGGGGUCCAGGCUACCCCGCACAGCAUCCUGCAAGGUUCCCUGUUCGCUGGUGCGGGUCUAUGAGGAGGAAACACACAGAAACCAAAAGAUGGAAUCAGGCUGUCUCGGGCCACUUCCUUCCGCCACAGCUCUGCCUGGAGUGCCAGCCCCAGCACAGGUGAAUACACAGAACCAGCGCCUCCCUCCUGGAGCUUUCCUGGGGAGACCAGUGAGGGUGAACAAGGAAGCGGAUAGAGAACUCCCCGCAGCUAGCACGCGGCGCUCCCAGGGAAGAGCAUGCCAGGCUGGAGGCCCUGCGGAGGGGACAAGUUCAGCAGCUUGGAGGACCAGAGAGAAAUCCAGCUCCUGCCUCCUAACUCACACAGCCCUGGUUAUAGCCUUUUGUUAUCACGUUGGGGCAGUUUAGGCCUCAGGAAGCUGAAUCUCAAGACCCUAAUCUGACUGUGGGUCAGAAGAUCCUCAUUCCAGGGUGGGUUCUGCCUCAUCCCCUAGAGGAAGAAAUGCUGCCGAGAAGCUGAGAAGAGUCUGGGCCAGGCGUGGUGGCUCAUGCCUGUAAUCCCAAGACUGGGAGCCCAAGGCGGGCAGAUCACCUGAAGUCAGGAGUUCGAGGCCAGCCUGGCCAACACGGCAAAACCCCAUCUGUACUAAAAAUACAAAAAUUAGUCGGGCAUGGUGGCACGUGCCUGUAAAACCAGCUACUGGGGGUGCUGAGCCAGGAGAAUUGCUUGAACCUGGAAGGCAGAGGUUGCAGUGAGCCGAGAUCACACCACUACACUCCAGCCUGGGUGACAAAGUGAGGCUCCGUCUCAAAAAAAAAAAAAAGAAGAAUCUGGACAGACAAGCCCUGCUGAGUUUACACCACGCCCUGUGUAUCCAGUUGCAUUUCUACAUGGUUGUCAAUCAUUCCUGUCCAACGAUGUCUCCAUCAAAGGCCCAAGAGGACAGGGUUCAGGGACCUUUCAGAGAGCUGACCACGCAGAGGCUCCUGGAGGGGCUGCCCAGGGAGGGCAUGGCAGCUCCACGCCCCUUCCCCGUACCUCGUCUGUGCAUCUCUUCAUGUAUAUUCUUUGCAAUAUCACUUAUAAUAAACCAGGAAACGUGUUUCCCUGACUCCCGUGAGCCACUCUAGCAAAUUAAUCAAACCCAAAGAGGGGGUUGUGGGAACCCCAACAUCAAGAAGUUGGUCAGAAGGCCCAGACGUGCAGCUCAUGUCUGGAGUAGGGGGGGAGGUCUUAGGACUGAGCCCUCUCCCUGUGUGAUCAGACACCGUCUCCAGGUAGAGGGGUCAGAAUAGAAUCGGAGGAUGCCCCUGUUGGUGUCCGCUACAGCAGUGUUGCUCACUCAGUGGUGGGGAGAAGCCCCAACUCUGCGUUUGCUCACAGGAGUCUUCUAUGUUGAUGAUGUCGUGGUGUUGAAGUUGAUGAUGUCAUGGUGUUCAUGAUGUCAUGGUCUUGAUGAUGUGUUGAUGAUGCAGUGUUGAUGAUGUCCUUGUGUUGAUGAUGUCUUGGUAUUAAUGAUGCCGUGUUGACGUCAUGGUUUUGAUGUUGUCAUGGUGUUGAUGUCACGGUGCUGAUCUCAUGGUGUUAAUGAUGCAGUGUUGAUGAUGUCCUUGUGUUGAUGAUGUCAUGGUAUUAAUGAUGCCAUGUUGAUGUCAUGGUUUUGAUGUUGUCAUGGUGUUGAUGAUGUCACGGUGCUGGUCUCAUGGUGUUAAUGAUGUAGUGUUGAUGAUGUCAUGGGGUUGAUGAUGUUGUGUUCAUGAUGUCAUGGUGCUGAUGUGGUGUUGAUGUUGAUGUGUUGAUAUCAUGGUGUUGAUAAUAUCGUGGUUUUGACGAUGUCAUAGUGCUGAUGAUGGUGUCAUGGGGUUGCUGAGGUCGUGGUGUGGAUGAUUUCCUGGUAUUAAUGAUGCGGAG